CAGACACUUCUCGAAAGGAUCCGUGCCCGUGGAGGUAUUGAAAUGGCGGCGUAGGGAGUUUCAGUGUAACCCACGGGCACACGCCUUCAACCGCCAGCUGGUCCAGCUAUGCAGGAGGUCCCGGGACCUCUUCUAGCUCGACCAUGGCUUCUACCGACGACGUCCAACCCAGGUGCUUGCGGCGGAUGGCCUUCACCCAAACUUCGAAGGAGUGCGGAUGAUGAGCCGCCACCUCCAGGACCUGAUCCCACACCUGCUUCGACAACUUCCACCACGCAGAGCUGACGCCCCGGUCAUCCCGGAUCCAGUGUGGCCCACCCCACAAGAGGCAGCCAUGCUGCGACGAAGACACUCCGAACGGACAUCGAGGGCACGUAAACAGGACUGACUAACCGCCGCCAGAUCAAGGUCCCCACUGACCCACAAGGACGAUGACCCCACUCCUGGACCUGACACAGAAACGCUCUGGAAUUUCCCCAAUUGACAACCGCCAGGUGGCGGGAAUUUCCCCCAACCGACCACGUCAUUCUCAAGCCCCUUAUCAGCCUCGUGGCCACAUUUAGCUCUUUUGUCCCGAAGAAGGCGGAGCUUCCGCCGUAACGUAGACAUCCUCCCUAACUUUUAUGAUUUUUAAGUUUUAAUAAACCCCUUUUUUGUUACUU